CACCGCGGUUAUACGAGAGGCCCAAGUUGAUAGUCAACGGCGUAAAGCGUGGUUAGAUGUAUGAGACUAAAAUAAAGCCGAACGCCUAUCAGGGCUGUUAUAAGCUUAUGAAGGUGAGAAGCUCAUCCACGAAAGUGGCUUUAUAAUUUUGAAUCCACGAAAGCUGAGGCA
rnacentral:rRNA from 1 species